AGAGUUUGAUCCUGGCUCAGGAUGAACGCUGGCGGCGUGCCUAACACAUGCAAGUCGAACGGGGUUAUUUAGGAAAUUUCCUUCGGGGAAUGGAAUCUUUAACCUAGUGGCGGACGGGUGAGUAACGCGUGAGCAAUCUGCCUUCGGAUGGGGGAUAACAGCCGGAAACGGCUGCUAAUACCGCAUAACACAUGGGAUCCGCAUGUUUCCCAUGUCAAAGAUUUAUCGUCCGGAGAUGAGCUCGCGUCUGAUUAGCUGGUUGGCGGGGUAACGGCCCACCAAGGCGACGAUCAGUAGCCGGACUGAGAGGUUGAACGGCCACAUUGGGACUGAGACACGGCCCAGACUCCUACGGGAGGCAGCAGUGGGGAAUAUUGCGCAAUGGGGGCAACCCUGACGCAGCAACGCCGCGUGAUUGAAGAAGGCCUUCGGGUUGUAAAGAUCUUUAAUCGGGGACGAAUUUUGACGGUACCCGAAGAAUAAGCUCCGGCUAACUACGUGCCAGCAGCCGCGGUAAUACGUAGGGAGCAAGCGUUAUCCGGAUUUACUGGGUGUAAAGGGCGUGUANGCGGGCAUGCAAGCCAGAAGUGAAAUCUGGGGGCUUAACCCCCAAACUGCUUUUGGAACUGCGUGUCUUGAGUGAUGGA
rnacentral:rRNA from 1 species